GUCGGAGUGGCGGAAUUGGCAGACGCGCUAGCUUGAGGGGCUAGUGGGAUAAUAUCCCGUGGGGGUUCAAGUCCCCCCUCCGACACCA
rnacentral:tRNA from 2 species